UGGGGAAUUUUGCACAAUGGGGGAAACCCUGAUGCAGCGACGCCGCGUGAUUUAGAAGGCCUUCGGGUUGUAAAAAUCUUUUCUAUGGGAAGAAAAUGACAGUACCAUAGGAAUAAGGACCGGCUAAUUACGUGCCAGCAGCCGCGGUAAUACGUAAGGUCCGAGCGUUGUCCGGAAUCAUUGGGCGUAAAGGGUACGUAGGCGGGUAAGCAAGUUAGAAGUGAAAUCCUAUAGCUCAACUAUAGUAAGCUUUUAAAACUGCUCAUCUUGAGGUAUGGAAGGGAAAGUGGAAUUCCUAGUGUAGCGGUGAAAUGCGCAGAUAUUAGGAGGAAUACCGGUGGCGAAGGCGACUUUCUGGCCAUAACCUGACGCUGGGUACGAAAGCGUGGGUAGCAAACAGG
rnacentral:rRNA from 1 species